CCUUCCACAAACAUUACAAAAAGUUCAACAAGCCCGACGAUCACAAGAACCACUCUAAACAAAGAGAGAGUCUGCAUAUGAGGAAAAAAGAUUUGAACUCUCGACCUUGUAUUGAAGGGCAAGAGAACUCGACCUUGAGAGUCCGUACACUAUGAAAUCACUCAUUUCGACGC